UACGUAGGGGGCAAGCGUUGUCCGGAAUCAUUGGGCGUAAAGAGCGUGUAGGCGGCUCGAUAAGUCUGCUGUGAAAGUCCAGGGCUCAACCCUGGAAGGCCGGUGGAAACUGUCGGGCUAGAGUCCGGAAGAGGCGAGUGGAAUUCCCGGUGUAGCGGUGAAAUGCGCAGAUAUCGGGAGGAACACCAAUGGCGAAGGCAGCUCGCUGGGACGGUACUGACGCUGAGACGCGAAAGCGUGGGGAGCAACAGG
rnacentral:rRNA from 1 species